GUCACUUCAUCCGCUAGAUUGAAAAGUCAUUGGCUACAAAAACAUGUUCGCAUUACACACAAGUAAUGAUCACAUAGUUGAAAGAGGAGUGGACCUUUUUGAACACCUUGGCUUGACAUGGAAGAAAAAAGAAAGGGUGCUCUAUCGCGUGUAUAGCAGCAGCAGCACAUACCAUGCACAUGAUCAACCAGAACCACUUUAUAUGAUCCAUCCAGUUUCAAUAAACUUUUGUCAAGCAAUGUAGUGGUUGAUGUAGUGUGUGGAGCAUCACUUUGAAUAUAGGAGGGCACCACGACGGACAAAUUAUGAAAUGCGGGGCUUUAGCUGAAUUUGUUGACU
rnacentral:misc_RNA from 1 species